AGUCCUAUGGUCUAGUGGUAUGACGUUCGCUUCACAGAACUUUCAAAAGUGUUCGAGAAGCGCGAAAGGUCCCGAGUUCGAUCCUCGGUGGGACUA